GAUUCUCCUAAAUAUCCUAAAUGUACCAAUUCGCAUCUGAUCUUGGAAGCUAAGUAGGUUUUGCUAUGGUUUGUACUCAGUUGGGAAAGCACUUAGAAAUACUAGGUGCAAUAAACU
rnacentral:rRNA from 11 species